UUAACUUUUACUUGUUUUCUAUGAUCUCAUUCUGAAAUAUGCUUGUUAUAUUCUGUGGUUUCUUUGGGUGUCACUGGAGAAUUCAUUCUCCUUCUAUAAUCUUCUAUGCUGUUUCACAUCUGAAGUUUCACAAGACUAGUUGCUUUAUUUUUUGCCUCUUGACUCUGAAAUAUUGCAUGAUUUGUCGAUCUCUGCCUCCUGAUUUGUCACUUUUUUUACCUCUAAAAUUCUGAAUAGAUAUUGAUCCUUGUCUCUUGAUUUUCAUUCGUUUCACCCCUGGUCAUGAUUAGUUUUGGUAAAUGUUUAUCUUUUGGAUCCUACUUGUAUUAUGUCAUGAUUCUGAGUAGUUGUUUCAUCUUAAGAGUUUCAUACCUAUCAUAGUUCUCUAGUAACUUUGAUUUUCAAUAUUUGCAUGUAAUAGGCUAAUUGUUUUUCUGAACUUUUAACUACUAAUAUUAGCUUUUAACUUCUUAGUUUUAUUCAUUUAUAUCCUGGAUAUCCAAUAUCUGUUACUCAUUUCUCACUUCCAAGUAUUUUGAUUAGGUUAUUUCUGUAAGUCAAGCAUUAGUUGAUGGGUUUCCUUUUCUAAUCAUUUUAAUUCAUUGGUUUUUGGCAGAAAAUGCAUUGAAGAUUCAUAUGAUCCUGAAUGAUAAUUGUUGCUGAAUCGUCCACAUUAGGAUAUUUGUUCGAAACUUGAGUUUGUAUUGGCUAAUUCCUAAACUUUUCAAUUAAGCCUGUAGUCCAGACCAUGAAUUUGGCUCAUAAUUUGAAUGUAAUUGACCAGGGUCAGAUUUGAACAAACCAAAUGAAAACCAAGGGUAGAAAAAUCUUAGGUUAGUGAAUUAGGAAAAGAAACAGGGGCAUAGAGGGUAUUUGAGCCUAAAAGAAUCUUGUAACAACCCUUAGAACAUUCUAGUGAGGGACUUAGGCAUAAUUUCAGCCUCAAACUUGAGACACAAGUUAGAAAACUAAGGACCAUCUAGGUAAAACUAAAAUUUGAAUAAGAGACUAAAAGGAAAACAAGGAAAUGAGUGUUGCCCUAAGGUUUCAACUAUAAAAAGGGGCAAUCUAAACAUUUGAAAAAAUAAGCUUUUGGACAUUUUUUAGCAGAAUUUUUCUUUUAAAAGCUUAGUAGUGAAUUAAAAUAUAAAAAUACAUAUUAGUUUCCUCUACAUUCUUCAGAAAAUAAUUGGUGUUGUUCUAUGCUUGUUGAAUUUUGCUUGUCUCAAAAGUCUUCUUGAA
rnacentral:lncRNA from 1 species